CUUCAGUUCAGUGCGGACGAGAACAAAGAGCUUGCAACUAAACUGGUUGUGUUACCAGAUGGAUGGAUGUGCUAUCAAUCCGGUUUAUUCUACAUUUCCUCUAUGAAGAAGAGCUGGAAUGACAGCAAACAAGACUGUUCGAAGAGGAAAGCAGAUCUGAUGAUUAUAAACAACAAAGAACAAAAAGAGUUUUUUAAAAAUUAUGGUGAACUCUGGAUUGGUCUGACUGACCGUGAUGUGGAGGGCAGAUGGAAAUGGGUUGAUGGCAGAACACUGACCUCUGGCUUCUGGAAGCCUGCAGAGCCAAAUGGAGACCGUACAGAGAACUGCGUUGUGACUUCUUCAUCAGGGUGGCGUGACUUUUCAUGUGAUAAAGAUUUUAAAUGGAUAUGUGAGAGAAAAAAAUCUUAAAAUAAACUCAGUAAUGUUAUCACUAAUAGGAAACAGGUAAAAUAAUAAUAAUAAUAAAAUAAAUAAAUAAAUUUGUACUUGUUUUUGCUUUUUUGUAAGCUAACUAUACAGUACAGAUAAAGAUAAGUAUCUUCUGAAAGUCUCAUUCUAUUACUGUAAAUCAUCUUCUUUAUUAAAUCAUUGAGCAAAUAAAUUUGUAUUUUUUAGUUUUAUUAAUGCAUGUGCGCAGCUUCUGAAUCUUUCUGCAGUUUUAAAAUACAUUUGCUAAUACGCUAGUGUAAUGCUGCACGUCAUUCACAAAGCUGUUACACUUCUGACCAAACAAUGAGCUCCAAUACACACCAGAUCAAGAGUCUGCAACCUCACAUUAGG